UACGUAGGAGGCAAACGUUGUUCGGAAUUACUGGGCGUAAAGCGCGUGUAGGCUGUUCGGAAAGUCGGAUGUGAAAGCCCUGGGCUUAACCCAGGAAGUGCAUUCGAAACUCCCGAACUUGAGUCCUGGAGAGGAAGGCGGAAUUCUCGGUGUAGAGGUGAAAUUCGUAGAUAUCGAGAGGAACAUCGGUGGCGAAGGCGGCCUUCUGGACAGUGACUGACGCUGAGACGCGAAAGCGUGGGGAGCAAACAGG
rnacentral:rRNA from 1 species